rnacentral:lncRNA from 1 species
CUACAUUAAAACGAAAACAAAUAUAAAACCGAAUGGAAAAAUCAUAUAUUUUAAUCCCUAUAUCAAUUUUCAACAAGAGAAAAAAUCCAAAUAUGCAAUUAAGGGGAUUGAAUAUACUUUUAAAAAGUACUGAAUAUCAAAUUGACGGAGGAGGAAUUGCUGGAAGUUGCAGGCGAGUGAUUGACAUAGGGAUUAUCAGAUCCACAAUCGUAAUCCCUCGAUAUCGUCGAUUCCAUCACCAAUGCUUGGCUCCACCUCGCCGAUUUCUUGGAUUUCACACUCCCAGCCAAUUUAGUAAAUUACUAGCGAGUGUUUGAUAGGUUGGAAAUGGAAAAAAGAGAUGGAAUUGGAAUUGGAAUUGGAAUUGGAAGAAUUGGAAUUGGAAAUUGCAAGUGUUUGAUACCUUAUAUUUUUUUU